ACUCCCAUAACUCAGCUGGUUAGAGUGUUAGCCUUAUGUGCUGAAAGUCGUCAGUUCGAUCCUGGCUGGGAGUA
rfam:Pseudocohnilembus persalinus scaffold139, whole genome shotgun sequence.